UGUCCACCUUCCUGUAUGCUAGAUACCUGACAUACCAACCGUUAAACUCAACAUAAAGUAUAUCAGUGACACUAAACGGCAUCGAGUGAGUUAAAAAUCAAACGUAGAAACCGUGUUUUAGGUGUAAAAUGAUAAUUAGCACUGUAGCGGCCUGAGGUUCGUAGCUAACGCUAGCUUACUGAUAUGCUGUGCUAACCUGAGCUAACAGGAUUAGCUCCAGGACUGAACACACUCCGAGGGGGGUUGGAUGGACGUGACGCCCAGUCCGAGGUCCAUUAAGCCGGGAGAGGUGUAAAGGAUGCUCCAGGGCCCGUACAGCAGUCUGGACCGGGACCGGCCUCUGAUCCGGGUGCCAUUCCCCUACCUUGUCCUCUUGGCGCUGCUGCUCGCUUUGACCGGCUUCAUCGCCUGCGUCUUCAUCUCACUGGUGUAUCACCCCGAGGAGUCGACGUUCACACACUGCAGAGUAUCAAACUACCUCCCGUCCAUCAGCGCCGCCAUCAGCCAGGUGCCCGAGCGUUACAUCUGGCGCUGCUGUAUAGGCCUGCACUCGGCGCCACGCUACCUUAUUACCUUCACCUACUUCAGCUUCUACCGCCGCCGCUUCGAGAAGCUGCCGGAGCGUCUGCUGACCGGUCUGACACUCCUCUGCAGCCUGGCAGAAAACUCCGGCCUGCUGCUGCUCACAUCCGUGGCAUCCACCGAGACUUAUAGUGUUCACAAAAACGCCUUUAUCGUGUUCAUCGCUAGCUCGCUGCUGCACAUGCUCAUUACCUGCAGACUGUGGCAGGUGAUCAAGAGACACUACAUCAACCCAGAGGAAGUGACAUCAUAUCACUGGAAGCUGCGUAUCUUCCUGUUCAACAUCAGCUGUUGUGCUGUGGCAGCGUACUUCUUCAGACGCCACAACAAGUACUGCGAGGAGGGAGUCUAUACGCUGUUCGCCUUCUUUGAGUACAUGGUGGUCCUCUCCAACAUGGCCUUCCACCUGACCGCCUUCUGGGACUUUGGGAACAAAGAGAUGAUGGUGGCCACGCCCCCUGAAGACAAGAGAUACUGAUCUGUGGACGUUUUUAAAGAAUGGUGAAACAAUAAAGACGCUAGGAGACAUGGGGACGUUUUUACUGAAGGCGUCAUGGACUCUGUGAGAGAACUGAUGCCUGCAGUCGUCACUGCAGCGGAGAUUAAACUCGCCAUCAUUCCAAACGUGGCCCAUUAUCACCAUGAACUAGUGUGUGAUGGUGCUAGUUUCACCAGGGGCCUGACGGUGGGGAUCUGCAGCCAGACUGUAGCCUCUAAACGUACAUUUGUCACAGAUCUGUUUCAACCAGGUCAUCUUUAUGUGCAGAAACAGCCAUGGAUGAUGUUUAAAAAUAUUUUAUUAACAGCGUUAACACUGGUCGUGAUGUUUCAACUCUUCUAAAGCUGCGGUUCUCAACCUUUUCAGCCUGAGACCUCCAAAAUAAAGGUGCCAGAGACCAGGGACCCCCACUGGACCUGAAGGUGGUUGAACAGCCAGGAACAUUCAAGAAUAAUCAAGGCUGCCCAUAAGGAGGGAUAAAAGGGGAGAUUUCUGGCACCCAACCAAACUGGGGGCCAAUGGAGAUCAGACCGUCCUCACACACUGAGUGGGCGUGCAAGAAGGAGACUAGUGAGAGAGGACACCAAGACACCUAUGACUACUCUGAAGGAGCUCCAAGCUUCAGCAGGAAGCUGUUGCUGUAAAGAUCACGCCGGAACGGCCUGAAGUGUCGCUGCCGUGGAGCUGAAGAAACAGAAUUCCUGACAUGUCAUUGGAGGAUUUGAACAGGAAGUGGACUUCUGGAACUAGAGCUGCUGGAACUGUGGGCCGUCAGCGCUGAGCUCUUUAUCUAAAUCUCUUUAUCUCUCCUCACAGUUAAGUUCAGAUGAUGGUGUUGGAGGGACGCUCAUAUUUAUUUCUAUAAUGCAAAGGAUAUCUUUUCUAUGGUGGCCUUGAAGGACAUUUGUGCCACUUUUUCCCAGCCUUUUACUGUUUUAACGUGUAAAAAAAUCACAGAUCCAGUGAAUGAACAGAAAUGUGUUUUUACAUGUUUGAUGCUGCUUCAA